rnacentral:lncRNA from 1 species
CCUCUUUCUUCCAGAGUUUCUGAAUUGUGAAAGAAUUAUAUGCAUUUUGAUGUUGCUCCUCAAAAAAUCGAGUGGGAAGGGAAGUUUUGACGGCCAAUUUCAAGGGGAACGUGGAUUUUGAAUCGCUGUCGUUUAACUCGGUCGAGUUCACUGACCUUUUAUCCGAUGAUUAACGACCUGUUGGAACAUCGAAAUGCGACUCCAAGAGGGUAAGCUCGGCGGAAUUACUUUUUCGGGGGUCCAUCCGCCACAAACGAAUUGGUAAAAAUCAUCGCACGGAUCCACCGUCUUGUUGAUGCUGCUGAGAAACUCUUUGGCUGCAAAAUCAUUUUCAGAGGAUUUUUAUCCAAUUCAGUGCUUCAGCGACAUCGUUUAGAGCUGCGAAAUUCCACGAUUUACCGAUUGUUUUGCAUCCAUCCGUUCUACAGACUUCGUAUUCUCCUACUUUUUCUGAUCCUUUCGCCAAAUCUUGAAACUCGUGUUUGGUGAGAGAUGACGGCCGUUUUUCGUCGUUGGGAAAAACUGCUUUGUUGAGAAGCGAAGCUUGAACGGAAUUCGCGACUGAAAUCACAGCGACGAGGAUGCACCAAGCUCUGCAAACAUUCCAAUCCCACCGAAUGGCAAAUUAGGGCAGAUUUUUUAUUAUCAGGCAUUGAGAAGGUUGUUCCAACUUACGAUAUUUUUUGAGCCAACAUUUCGUUAAACGCGUUGAACACUCUUCACUGUUCUUGACUGCAGCUAACAAAUCGUUAUGGUUUUGAGUUGCUGGAGGGGCACUCGCUCACCAUCUCGCUGAUGCAGCUACGAAUUCGUACUUUAAAUGGUCAUUGAUAAACCUCAGUCAUUCAAAUCUAAUUUCUCCUGAUAUUAAGAAUACGUCAAUGCUGUAUAUCGGAACAAUUAUUUUCCGGAUACAACGCAUCCGGGAAGAGGGAGAUAACGAGGAGCCUCCACGUACAAAAUAAUACCAGCUUGUAAUAUCUUUUCGAUAAGCCAAACGCGGAAGGGCCUCGUGCAAAAUUCGUUUAUUACGCGAGAUAAAUGGCAUUGAAACUAUUUACGCGCCAGUUCGGUGAAGAUUGUACAGCAGCGAGUGCCUUCCCAACGACUAUCGAACCCGGCAGCCUGUCGAGCAAACCACUAAAUUUCAUUGCGACUGAAGAAAUUCGAAGCAUCGAUUCAGACGAUCUUGGUAACCAGCCUCAAAAUCUUUUGACGACGGAACACUUUGAAGUUCCACUGUCCACUGCUACGGAGAGCAAUGCAUUCACUCGUCUCGGUCUUUAUUUUUUUCUUGGCAUAUGUUUUUUCCCAAAAAUAUAUUAUUGGAAGUUCGUCAAUAUUGAACUUGUGAUAAAACUUCGGUACGAAGUCGUGCAAGUCGUCAACAGUUGGAAUUCUCCAAUAAUAUUCGAAUAUAGGACGAUAUUCGAAAUGCCAUGUGGCUAAGUCGAUCACACACAAAUUUCAGAAUGUACAGAAUGUACUGAAUGACUCGAAGUUCCCUGGAGUGGGAGUGAAGUCGAACUGAUCUCCAUACAAUAGAACACGCUACACAAUAAAUCUGCAAUGGGAAUCCCAUGCAGAAUCAAAGCGAUGUUUUGGUCUCGCUACAGCUCAGCGACUCGGUCCUUUCUGGAUGCAGGCUGGUUUCUCAGGCUCUGGCGUCAA